GACGAACGCUGGCGGCGUGCUUAACACAUGCAAGUCGAACGGAAAGGCCCUGCUUUUGUGGGGUGCUCGAGUGGCGAACGGGUGAGUAACACGUGAGUAACCUGCCCUUGACUUUGGGAUAACUUCAGGAAACUGGGGCUAAUACCGGAUAGGAGCUCCUGCUGCAUGGUGGGGGUUGGAAAGUUUCGGCGGUUGGGGAUGGACUCGCGGCUUAUCAGCUUGUUGGUGGGGUAGUGGCUUACCAAGGCUUUGACGGGUAGCCGGCCUGUGAGGGUGACCGGCGACAUUGGGACUGAGAUACGGCCCAGACUCCUACGGGAGGCAGCAGUGGGGAAUAUUGCACAAUGGGCGGAAGCCUGAUGCAGCAACGCCGCGUGCGGGAUGACGGCCUUCGGGUUGUAAACCGCUUUCGCCUGUGACGAAGCGUGAGUGACGGUAAUGGGUAAAGAAGCACCGGCUAACUACGUG
rnacentral:rRNA from 1 species